UUCAAUAGUACGGCCCUGACAGUGGAUUCGUCGCUAUCACUCAAUAGGCAACAGAAUCAUUUCAGUCAUUUAUGUAAGGGGGAAAGACAUGUAAAAACAACAGUGAGCUGUCCUAAGACAUGAAAUCAGAUUUGCAGUGGUGAAUUCUAUAACAUUAUCUACAUAAUUAAUCAUUCAAAUACGUGUUGUGAAACUUCACAUAAUAUUUAUAGAGAAUGAAUCAAGAAGUCAAAUCCAACGACAGUAUUGACUAAGUUUUCCUCAUUUGCAGAAGAUAAUUGUGGAAAUUAGUAUUUUUUUUUUUAAUUGUUCGAAUUAAUUAAAAAAAAUGAAGAGCAUGAAUUUUAUAGCAGAAUUCCGUGGAGUGAUUCAUUUAGUUAUAUUUAUCCUUAGUUUGUCCAGAAGUACACACGGUGCAUUUCGAGAUGAGAUCAAAGCCUUAGCUGGAGGGGAAGUCCAAUUACCAUGCAGCAUAAAUAGAGAAGAGUGUGGAGAUUUUCAUUCCAUUAAAUGGUACAAAGAAAACCGCCGAGUCUUUGUAUACAGUCCGUUUGCUGAUUUCGCUAAAGCGGAAGGGGAAUUGUCAGAAAGAGCCCAGUUGAUGAUUGAUGAUAACGUUACGAGUGCAAAGUUGAGGCUGACGGAAUUAAAAACAACAGAUGAGGGGGAAUACAAGUGUGAAAUCACGUUUCUUGAUAUAGCUAAAAAUUGUCCUGUUGUUCAACUUGUCAAACUAACUACUCUUGCGGAACCUAAAUUUGUGAGCAUUUCUUUACCUGAGGACAAAAACAUUUCCAACUCCAUCAUAGGGCCGUACACCGAGGGGCAAGAGUUGAGAUUACUUUGCGAAUCAGGUGGUGGAAAACCUAUUCCUAAAGUGACUUGGUACAAUGGCUCUGACAUUCUACCUGGUAAAUCCUCUUCAUUUGAAGAGCCUGAUGGGACUGGCACUGGUAAAAAUGAGGUCCGUAUUAAAUUAUCAAGAGGUGAUUUGGGAUCACAUUUUACUUGUAAAUCGGAAAAUGAAGCAAUAAGAGAUAAUCCCAUGUCCUCCUCUGUUCAAGUCGACGUGAAUCUCCGUCCAUUGAAUACAGAAGUCAUUGGUUCUGACGAACCAAUACUUGAGUCAAGUACAGUGACUUUAAUGUGUCGUACUAUUGGUGCAAGACCAGCAGCUGUUAUUACGUGGUAUAAUGGAUCAAGACCUUUUGCUGAACAGUCCCCGGGGGUCAAAGCACUUCAGGAGGACAAUACUUAUGAGACGCAGAGUCGAAUCAGCUUCACGGCCUCUCGUUUUGAAAAUAAUGAGUUUAUAACUUGUGAAGCAAAUAAUGACAUUCUCGAAUCUUUUCAAGAAGAACCCCAAAGAGAUUCAAUCACGCUUUCCGUCUUAUAUGCACCAAAAGUUGAGAUAUACCCCACAAAUAUUACUGUGAAUGAGUCAAGUACAGUGACUAUAUACUGCAAGUUUGACGCGAAUCCUAAAAAUUUGACAAAUGUUCAAUGGUAUCGGAAUGGACAGUUUUAUGAAGAGGGGAAUUUGACAGCUGUUGAUAUAGAAGAUGGACUAAGUCAUGUUGCUCUAAUUUUGAAAAAUGUGUCUAGAGACGCGUCAGGAACCUAUAAUUGCCUUCUUGAAAAUGAAAUAGGCUCUGGGGAAUCAUCAGAGCCCUCUAUACUUGAUGUGUAUUAUGAAGUUGAAGUAUCACUUAGAAUGGAUCCACGAUCACCCAUUUCUGAAGCAGAUGAGCGAAAUGUGACCCUUUUUUGUGAUGUUAAGAUGGGUAAUCCUAAUGUUUUGUCUGGAGUCAAAUGGUUUAUGGAUGGAGAGCUUUUAAAGGAAUUACCCCAAUGUGAUGAUGAGAAUAAUAUGGAUCUCUGUGAUAUUGACCCAAGUAAAUUACUCCUUGAGCAUGUGAGUCGACAUUUCAGUGGAAAUUUCUCAUGUCAAGGAGUCAAUGAAGCUGGAUGGAGUGACUUCUCUGAUGAAAAGAUUUUAGAAGUCUUUUAUUCGCCUGGCACUGCCUUUAUUCAAAAAGAUCAUGACGAGGUAGUCAAGGGAGAAUCAUUGUCAUUAACUUGUGGUGUGUCUGAUCCAGGCCGCCCUCCAGCAUCAACUUAUAUAUGGAAGAGAGGAGGCCAUGUUGUAAAUGAUGUGACAACCUAUAAUUGGACAAUAAAUCCUGUUACGCUAGAAACAGAGGCGAAUAUUAGUUGUGUUGCAGUGAAUGAAGUUGGCAGAGGAACUGAGGACUACAUAUCAAUUCAAGUCUUAGCACCUCCUACAUUCAUUCAACGUCUUCCUCCAUACACAGGAGCCAUGGCUACAACAGAGAAUUUCUCGUUGUCUUGUCAAGUUGAAUGUUCCCCUCUUUGUGAUAUAUUUUGGUUAAAGGAUGGAAUUCCUAUUGCGGAUGAUGACUCAAGAUAUACAAUCAUUACAGAAUCCCUUCCUUCAAACUUUGCUAAAAAUGACUUUGAGUCAGUUAAAUCCGAGCUCAUCUGGAGAAUUCAAAACUGGCCAAAUGGAAAACUAGAUAGGGAGACGGAUAAUGCUAAUUUUACUUGUCAAAGUACGGAAAAUUUAGUGGGAACUCCAGGAGUUAGCAGUGAUACUUACUUUCGAGUUGAAUAUCCUCCUGAAAAUAUUCGAGUAUCCAAGGAAAUUGUUACUGUUCAAGAAGGGAAAUCCACUGAGAAAAUUUCCUGCGAAACGGAGUCAUAUCCCGAGGCCAACUACAUUUGGAAGUUUAAUGAUGAAAUUAUCACGACAGACAGUAACUUGUUAUUUGACUAUGGGAUUUCUCGUAAUCAGGCAGGAGAUUAUACAUGUCGAGUUCAAAAUCGACAUGGUUCUGCUGAAGUGUCCAUGUUGAUCGACGUACAAUAUAAACCUGAGUGUGUCAUUAAGCAAUGUGAUGAAGAUGGUUACUUACAGCUAACGUGCGAGUCCGUUGCCAAUCCAACGGAUGUGCUUUUCAAAUGGAAAAAAGGGAAUGAGACAAUUAAGGGUGCAGAAGUAGAUGGUCUCAACUCUUAUUUGCGUUUGGAUCCGGUAGAGGAAAACUUUGGUCUUUAUUAUUGCUAUGUUAAUAACUCAAUGGGAGAGGGAUUCCCCUGUGAGUUAGAAGUUGAGGGUAUUGGACUAGUCAAAAUGGGGAAUUCGAAUUUCAUUAUCGUUGUCACCAUACUUGCCGCUAUAGUCGUGAUUCUACUACUUCUCGUGGUUGCUUAUAUUAUGUGCUGUAGGAAGAAGAAAAAGCCUGAAGAAAAGUACUCGAAUCAAAAUGGAAAUGAGGAGAGAGAUAAUAGCGGAGAUGUAACCACGAGCAUUAAGGAUAUCACGGAUUCAUCCUCAAUAGAUACCAUCGAUGCUAAGUCAGUACCUGUUCCCCAACCGAGACAUAAAUGGCCCUUAAGACCCGGAGUGCAUGUUCAUAUUAAAGGGCUUAAUGGUAAAGAAUCAUCAGAGUCCUCCACUCCUACCACCGAGGAAAUGACAAUGAGUGGUAGAGGUAGGGCUGAUGAGUCUGAAGUACGUAACUCAGUUCAAAAAGAUAUCGCAUCAAAAAAUAAUAAAACUAGUCCCGACAGCGGACACCCAGAUGAUCCCAACGCAGAGAGGGCCUUUUACGAAAAUCUUCCUUUUCAUCAAGGAAUGCCCCAAAAGCAGGGUGCCCCCCAUCAUCUUCGAAACGGCGGUCCGUUCAAUUAUCAUCAGAGUUUACCUCGACACUUCCUGCGAGGUGUAAUACCGGGAGCGGGAAAGGACCAGUUAUCGAACCCUCUAGGGGCAGUGCUAAGAAACAGCAGCAACAACGAACGACUUCGUCAUCAAAGACAAGCAGAAGAGCAUCUGUUAUCCUCAGGUCGCGCUAAGCAUCCAACCUUUAGCAAUCAUCCAUCCCGUCGUACAGCAGUUCCUCUCCGAACUGUAUCCUCCUCAUAUUAUUCAACAUUAUCAGCUCGAACUCAGACACCCAAUGGAAGUUCGGGUGGUGUGUAUCCUGAUACUGCUAUUCAGCCACCAAGACAAUUUGAUUCAUACUAUUAUCAUCCUGCCACACUAAACAAUAACAUUAAUCAUAAACAUAAAAACAGUCAUCAAUCCAAUAAUAAUAAUAAUAACAGUAAAAACACAUCCUCAAACAACAACCCCAAAAACAAUUUGAGCCAUUCAUCCGUGCAACCUCCUCCCUCCAGAAACAACACGACAGACACGGAUCAGUCAACCACAAGUACAACAGCAUCCUCAGGAUCAGGUCGAAUCGUGUAUGCAGACCUUGCACUCAAAAAGUCAACGGGUGAUAAUCUCAAUCAGCAAAAUCGACCCCCCACGUCUUCAACUACAGACUAUGCCAUUCUUAAAUUCAACUCACAGGCUUCAGUGGGGCAAGAGAUUGACGUGUAACCUUCAUUACUAAUUCUGUAAAACUUAUUCGCGAUCCCUUUGCGUUUGUGUGUGUUUGUUAGUUGUUGUUUUUAUUCUUCAUUUGGACUAUUUGUAGUUAUUACUUAACUUCUAACACUCACGGAUCGACCAGGGCUAACAAUUGAAUUCGAUACACAUUUUUUAGGACUUCGAUGCUCUUAAAAAUGACGUAGAUGGUGCUAAAAAUAUUGACUACGCGGAUGCUGAUUACAAAGAUCUGUACGACUAUGGUCCAAUAGGAUAUAAACAAGCGAGUAAAGAUCUAGCUGAAGCUAAAAAACAAAAGCCAAAUUUCAUUGUUGGAACACUUCCACGUAAAAUGUAAUAGUCGAGGAAUUUGAUUGAAGAAGACACAGAAAAUGAUGGUUCGCAUAAUAGACCCUUAUAAUAUGUACAAUAUACUCUUACAUAUUCCUAACGAGAAACCAAAGAAUCAAAUAUGCAUACUAUAUUACUUAAACAAA
rnacentral:misc_RNA from 1 species